CAAAAGAUCUAAAUUUUACGUAAUGGAUCCCGUCCCGAUCGUCCCCUCACACGUGGCACUGCCGCGUAAACAAUGCCACAUCGUAGAGAAAGCAUAAGGGGGAGGCCAUCGGGAGAUUAUCCCGAGAAUUCAAACUAUUCUUGUAAUGUCGUACGAGCCUCGUUCCGUUCGCUCUUUCAUGCGCAGCAUUACCGGUGUAAAUGUAAUAAUGCCGCACAGUGAACAAGCAAAAGGGGAAGAGAGUCUCCGGAUAGCCGUUACAAUCCAGUAACGACUUAACGCAGAUUACUCCUGCAUAAGCGUCUCUGCGAUGAGGUAUUUUCCAUAUGUUCCUGGAGGUCCGUGCCUGUAUAUUCGUUAAUGUCGACAUCUGCCUAUGUGCCUGUGUAUCGGUGCAUAGGAGUAUGUCUGUGCAUCCCUGUAUAUAUUAUCUGUGCAUAUUUGCAUAAUUCAUAAACGAAUAUUUAAUUACAGUAGUGUUGCGCGAGCCCCGAUCCAUUGAUCUGCUCACGACUGUAGCACUUAGAAUCGCACAGUGCACAGCCAGUGAGCUGGCCACAGGAGAGGGACAUAGGCCUGAUUGCUGGGACGCGGAUGAGAGAUCAAUCGUGUUGUUCCUUACGAUAACCUAAUCAGCACCACCGAAUUAUACGAGACUGCAUUAACUCACAUCUGCUAAAGGUUUCGCUUAUUCCUUUUACAUCCGAAUGUCCAUCCUGUUAUCUUUAAUAUUCCUUAAUGUGCGAUGUCCAUAUCCCUUCUAAAAAAAAAAAAAAAAAAAAAAACAGCCAGGCAUAGUUUUUGAGCCUGGAAAACUUACCGCAGGCUUCAUAGAAGCCAUAUCCCGAAUAAUACUCCAUAUACCCCCCCCCCCCCUUCCCCAACCGUUCUGUAUAGAACGAGAAUUUGCCAUUUAAGCAGUCUGGGGCCGAGAGAUGUUGCCCCAGAAGUUUUCCACAUAGCUAAGUUUAUCUAAUACUUCGGAACUCCUGGAGCCAACAAAUCCCCUGACCAUGUAACUCAAAAUAGUUCUUCCGAGUCUAAGCUACACGGUAAGGAAAAUUUGUUACCCCAGAGGAUUUUUUUAUGUCAGUAAAUCGAUAAAUAAUGCCUUUAACCCUUUCCUUUAUGUUGAUCUUCCCGAAACUAUGAAAACUAUUAUAUAUAACUAGGGGAGAAGAAACAUGGGGCAUAGACGAUGUGCUGCUGAGAGUCACAAUGCGGAUCAUCAGGGUCUCCCGUCACCUGGAAACCACCAGACCGUAGACUGAGUAUCCGAGGGAAACUGAAUAUAAAUCUGGCCCGAAUACAAGGAAUCCUGUUCGGGAUCCUCGGUAAGACGAGCAUAAAGCCUCUCCGGCUCCGGAGCCGGAUGUGGGGGAGAUGGGGUAAAAAGGGGAGCCUGGCCAACAGGACAAAGCUGAGCGUAAACCGUCCCCGGCGAUGGAGGGGUACACGGCUCGGUAACAGGACACAAUGCAGGGAAGAUGCCCUCCGGAGAUGGAGGCUGGGGAGGGCAGAAGAGGGAAUGGGGAGUACAGAUGGGAGGUGGUGGGGUCGAGCAGAGCUGGGCGCAAAGCUCCUCCGCAUCGGGAGGAGGGGGGGUACAGAUAGGAGGUUGGAGGGGGGAAGGCCCCGGAGCGUAGAUAAUAUGGGGAGUAGAGAUGGGAGGUGGUGGGGUCGAGCAGAGCUGGGCGCAAAGUUCCUCCGUAUCGGGAGGAGGGGGGGUACAGAUAGGAGGUUGGGAACCGGAGCAAUGUGGAGCGUUAGGUUCAUCCGGUGAGGGAGGUGGAGGAGUGCAAAUGGGAGGUUCAGGAACGGGAUCGUGCGGGGUGGUAAGCAGUCCAAGGGUCACCGUUAGGGGUACCGCCAUAGGGCAAACUGGCUCAUGACAAGCCAACUGUACACGCAGGGACGUGCACUCAGUCCUUAGAUCUCGAAUUUCCUUACGUAGGUGUUCAUUGGCCCUCUGCAGCUCUUCACAUGCUUCAUGGAGUUUGUCUACAUAGUCCGUCUGCUUCCUGCGUCUUCUCCGAGCGGCGUCACGAUUCCUUUUUCUCCUCCUUUCCAGCUUCUGUUUCUCCUCCUCAGAUAGGCCGUCAGGGAAGGGGUGUUUGGAGGGGCUGUUGGGGAUGUCGUGACUUUUCCUUUUUUUCCGUCUCGAAGUCGACCCGAGAGAAAGAUCGAGGGGGGACGGAUCGUCAGCGGGACUGUAGGGCAUAGCGCCCGGCUCUGGCUCCUGAGACAUCUCUUUACACCUGUACCGUGCCCGCCUUCUCCCUGGUAUACACCUGCAAGAGACGCCUGCCUAGGAAUCAGUGUGCGGAAUUUAUUCUUAACAUUCCAGCACCAACCUCCCCGAACCAAAAUAAUAAUUAAAAAAGCAACACCCACAGACCCGAAAGUAUUGAAGAAUUACACGUUCGCGAACGGUCACAAUUCACCUGUCAUUUUAUAAAGGAGCAAUAGUUUAUUUAAGAGGUAGGUAUAAAUCGAUCAUUUCCCCCCCCCCCCCCCCGUCUCCGUAUCACUCCCGAACCAUUAGAUAUCAGUCGAUCCAGCCCCCCACGUCAUGCAUGACUAUCGUCUUUAUAUCACCGAAUUCGGUUAUUCCAAAUCCGAUUCAAUAUUACAUCACUUCAACGGUGUAUAGACGUUCUACGAUGGUUUUCCAGCGAUCAUUUCCCCCAGAAAGGUCAUGCUGUCAGAACCAUUCGUGGUCACCGAACGAAGGGUUCCGAUACAGCAUUAAACUUCACAGGGGACAUUCAAAACAAGCCCAGAGCCGUCACGUGGAACACGUCUCGAGUCGAUCGCUCCCCUCAAGAAAGCUAUUCUGCGGCAGUCCGUUCCAAGACCUUACAAACGGACUACCGGGCAGAAUACAACUUUCUUUUAGGAGAAUAUACAAAGUACAAUGCGGCCGUCGGAUCGCUCUCGCGAUACGCGGUGUCACGAAGACCGAUACACUACAUACAACUUAAAAAUGUGAACCCCCCCAGCAGAUUCUAUUUCUAGCGGGAGAGGUUUCACAUUUUCAUGCCGCCUGUAGUGAAUCCUGAUCAAGAACAAUGCAGACGACAGGUACUAAAUUCGUCAGUACGUGGCCACAGUAAGUCUGGCUCAUAUCAUCGCUAAGGACUUUUGGCCUCGCGUACGAUCGGCCACUCGGAUCAGAACCCUCCGUAUUAUGCAAACCUUUGGACAUUUACAUUAUACGGAGGGCCUUGAUCGGCGAGGGCAUUAUCCCCUCUCCAUUAAUUAUACCGCCAGGCCUUGAUCAUUUUCCCAUCCUGCUCACCCACCGUCCCAUAUCUCAAACAACGCGAAUUUGUAACACGGGGGGGGGGGGAAGAAAAUAAUGUAUCGAUUGUAUUUAUCGCACCAACUAUUCUUUUAUCCUAACAACAACUAUGUCUGAAACCCUGAAGAUGUUUCAAUACCACCACAAACAGUAGACGACCACGAUACACACGUAUGUAUUUUAAACCGUGUCAAUGUGAUCGCAUACGGUUCAUGACAGUUGAUAAACUUUUAAAAGGCUCGAGUCCGUCUCCCCCCUCUUUUUUUUUUCACGUUCUCCUAAUAUUGGUUACAACCGACUGCUCACACACAUACAACCCCCCUCCCCCACGAUGCUCAUUAGCCUUCAAAAAUUAUAUUUUGAAGUAUGUGAGUCGGGGCACUUUUUCCUGCCCUCGGAGUUUACAACGUACGAUACAGUGAACUCCGGGGGGAAGGAGAAAAACCGCUCCGGCACAAAUUAUAUAUCCGAAUGAGAAUUAUCUCGUGCAUCGCCCGCGUACGGAAAUGUAUAUGAGUAGACUAGAAAAAGUUUAAAAUCUACUUUCCCAUUUUGUUUGGCCCACUUCAUUAGAUCUACCCGAUAUGUUACACUCCCGGAGAUCAGGUCUCUUAGUUAUCCGGGAAUGAUUACCUUACCCGCACUUUGGUUCUAAAUGUCACGAUCGAAAAGCCGGCUGGUAGAGGGAUCGGGCGAAAAGAUCGGGGAGCGGACGGACUGAGCCUUAAGUAGAAUAACUGGCGCGCAGCCAGAUCCUGUAUGAAAGGUAUGUAUUAGAAAUUCGAUUGGCCGAACAGGGCAAUUCGCGCACGAUUAUGCGUAAUCAAGCCCACAGAUCGCACCUUCAACCGAUAAGAGUCUCUAGAUGACAAAUCGACAGUUAGUUGGAAAGUGUUCGGGGGCGGUAAAAUUUACAGGGCCUCUCGACAUAAAGGCCUCUAAAGUAUAAUUCGCUGGUUCUGCUAAUUAGGAAGAGCGGUUCUGAGUAAUCGUCACACCGAUCGCAUAUUUAUGCUGAGGCGAGGGGUAAUGAGAUGAUAAAUCAGCACUUAAGAAAGGGCAUCUGUCUAUCAGGGCCCCAGACAUCAAAGGCACUGCACUAUAAGGUGAUUCACUUAAGCUAAAAUUCCGGGCAUCAGCUAUGAGUAAGCAAUAUCAGUUAUCAAAAAUUUCUCAUGGGAACAGCGACUUAAAAAAAAAAACUUAUAAUAAAAGGAAAUACCUUCAAUACCCAAUGACGUUAUAAACAAUUCCGUAUAAAUCCUGAGGAGCUGCCGCAAAAAAAAAAACUACCCCAUUUCGCGCCAUUGGAACGUAUAGAAUAACAACAACAAAAAUAAAAACGCAGUCGGCACGGUUUCAUAAUUCCAGGAUCAAACCCGGCCGAACGCUCUCGAAAUAUAACACACCCCCUCCCCCGCCGCUACUGGUCCGGAAAUCAUUGAGUUUAGUGGCAAACGACAAACAGACAAAAAUUGUAGAUGCCGCCAGCUAGUUGAGAAGCGCACAGAACAUAUAUCGAGACGCAUGAAGCAACCGACACCGCAAGUUAAUUUACGGCGGUUACUGUACAUUUGCAGUAACUUUUUUUAACCUUGAUCGUACCGUACGCGAAGGGGAGUAUACGAAAGAUAAAAUGAACACGCAUACAGUGAACCAAUAUCCGUAACCUUUUAAUGCUCGACCGAUUUACAGGAUGAGGCUGAAAAAUAUACAUACAUUCAAAAUAAUUAGAAAAACAAAGACAAUGAACGUCCCCGCUACACGUCCGCGUUCGUCUCGGCGACCGCCGUACUUCCGCAAUCGUUUACAGAAGCGUCAUAUCCGUUCUAUUUCCGCAAACAAAGACUUUGAGACAGGAUUUCCGUGUUGUCGUGUCCGGUCAUACAUUCUAUGUAAACAAGGAAGUUAUCCCCUUUGCUUCCGUAUUAUCGAUAAUCGGCUCCGAUCCCGAUUCCGCGGACCAAGCAUUGGCUGCAAACUAUAUCGGAAUGCGCCAGACCUUCUUUGCGCGUCUCCAGACACUUCUGCGAUCGCAGACGAAGAAGCCUGACGUAGGUAUGAUUUUUCCUAUUACCUAUAUUUCCCACCGCCGAAUGAUACAAAUGGGGCGAGAUACUUCUUUUUAGAGUUAACAGUUCCAUUUUUCUUACAUGCUCAAACCUAAACAUGACGUCACACCGAACAGGCGGACGGCAAACUUUCGCCAUGUGUACUGCUUGUAUGCUACAACGGCCAAUCGUGUUCCACAUGCAUGCGACUGCAUGUUUAGGUCUCACCCCUCUCGAACCCUACAACAUCUCCGCUCCAUGUGAUCCGAAGGGAGAUCGAAGAUCGUAGACUCUCUACAUACACCGGCCUCAAUAUACCACGACCGACAGAGAAAGUUGGGGAAGGGUAAGCGAAUCGCAUACACACUUUUCCGGUAGAUGUCAAUGUGCAAAAAAAAAAAAAAGCCUCGAGAAAUUGAGAUGCCAAUUAUUCCUGCUAAUUCUAGGUAUACUCAAAUUUCAUACCGUUGAACUUCAAUAAACAGUGAUCUGUACGAAGCAUUACAUUCUUACAGACUUAUAUGUUCGUGCGUAUAUACAGACGUAUUCUAAGAAUACAUAACUAUACGCAGCGUCUUUCUGCAGUUAUCUAAUGCGUAGCUUUGAUAAUGUGCAAACAGCGACUCAUUAUCCCGCCUAGCUACUAUUUAUACUGGAUUCAGAGGGUCGAUUCCACUUCUUUCUCUUGUGGAAUCUCUGCCAGAACCUCACAGCUCUCGUUUCUACUACGCCAUGUUACAAAGUUGGAAAUUAAGGAGCGAGCCCUCUCACAAAAACUUCUGAUGCGAUCACCAAAACUUGAUGUUCCGUUCCUAGUUGUCGCAGUAUCCGUUUCGAGAUGGAAAGUGGGUCCGCAGUCAAUGCAUCCGGGGUCUGCAACGAUAUCACAGCUGUAAUCAACACGGAUGGUAGGUACACCGGCACACUUUGUUAGUAGAACUUAAUAGUUUUUUUUUUCAGUCCUGCUUCAUAUACACGUUCUUAAUUCUCACUCACAAAAUCCAACAAAGUAGAUAUGUUCUUCCUGAGGCAUAGAAAAGUCCACAUUGCCACCACAAAUAGAUCACGCAUGGAUAUUUACCUCUGCGAAAAUUGGGAUCCCCCAAAGCAUAAUCCCGGAUGAUGAAUCGAGCUCCGUUCGAAGCAGUGAUUAUUCUUUCUGGGGGGGCACUACCUGGGUAACCAAACCUCAUUUUUUUUUUUUUGAGGGGAGAGUGAAAUUCAAGCUUCCCGACACACUUACUAAGUCAGGUAGAGACCCCAACCAAAAUCGGGUGUAGGGAAAGUCCCAGAAUGAACUUGGGAUUAUAUAGAUUGCAGGAGUCUCUGCAAACAUGGGGCGAAGCCACGAGGGAGGAGUUGUCGAUGAUGAGACAAAUCUACUGUCUCAUGAAACAUACCCCUUCCCCCGCUUCCUAUCUCAGCAGAAAAACUCAUAUAGCCUUCCAUACUACCGUAGUAUAAAAACUAUAGAUAAUCCCCUCUUCUGAGUCUAACAGUGACAUUACCUCAUAAAAAAAAACAUAUACACCUGAGUAUGAUCACGAUACGAUUUAUUCUCAGUUGUUAAGGUUCAUUGUGCCAACAUUUUCAGACUUUGCCCCCUCAGCUAAAUCCUUUGAAGCAAUAUUAUCGUUGUUACGUCGUACAUUAAUCUCACCUCAUUAGUACACAUUCAAUCAACAUGUUACAUAUCUAUAGCCUGAUGAUACAUCUCAAAUUAAUCCCACCUCAUUAGUACACAUUCAAUCAACAUGUUACAUAUCUAUAACUUGAUUAUAUCAGAGGUGUCAACAGCUCUUGUACAGACAUAUCCAAUACAGGCCUCCUACACCUGCAGUCUCAAAACUAUUAUAUCAGCAAUACACACUCGGUCAUUCCAUACUAAAUCAAAUCUGUCAUGGCAUACCGUUCCCACCCAGAGCCGUGUCAAUCGACAACUGAGAAGGGUUUCUUUCUGCCGUAGUAUUUAUCAUGUACAAAGACGGAAGCGCGGGGACGUUGAUGGAGGAGUUGCAAACCUGACGUCACAAAACAGCUACGCAGCAAAAGCAGGUAAAGUAUAACCAUAAUCGUGCAACAACGCCCAAAUAGUUUAAAUGGUGCAAUUCGUCAAUAAAUGAAAGUUUCAUGUCGUGUAU
rnacentral:lncRNA from 1 species